GACGAACGCUGGCGGCGUGCUUAACACAUGCAAGUCGAGCGGUAAGGCCCUUUCGGGGGUACGACGAGCGGCGAACGGGUGAGUAACACGUGGGUGACCUGCCCUCAGCUCUGGGAUAAGCCUGGGAAACUGGGUCUAAUACCGGAUAUGACUCCAUGACGCAUGUUGUGGGGUGGAAAGCCUUGUGCGGCUGAGGAUGGGCCCGCGGCCUAUCAGCUUGUUGGUGGGGUGAGGCCUACCAAGGCGACGACGGGUAGCCGGCCUGAGAGGGCGACCGGCCACACUGGGACUGAGACACGGCCCAGACUCCUACGGGAGGCAGCAGUGGGGAAUCUUGCGCAAUGGGCGAAAGCCUGACGCAGCGACGCCGCGUGAGGGAUGACGGCC
rnacentral:rRNA from 1 species